rnacentral:rRNA from 1 species
GAAUAUUGGACAAUGGGGGGAACCCUGAUCCAGCCAUGCCGCGUGUGUGAAGAAGGCCUUUUGGUUGUAAAGCACUUUAAGCGAGGAGGAGGCUACUCUAGUUAAUACCAAGAUAUAGUGGACGUUACUCGCAGAAUAAGCACCGGCUAACUCUGUGCCAGCAGCCGCGGUAAUACAGAGGGUGCAAGCGUUAAGGGGAUUUACUGGGCGUAAGGCGCGCGUAGGUGGCCAAUUAAGUCAAAUGUGAAAUCCCCGAGCUUAACUUGGGAAUUGCAUUCGAUACUGGUUGGGUAGAGUAUGGGAGAGGAUGGUAGAAUUCCAGGUGUAGCGGUGAAAUGCGUAGAGAUCUGGAGGGAUACCGAUGGCGAAGGCAGCCAUCUGGCCUAAUACUGACACUGAGGUGCGAAAGCAUGGGGAGCAAACAG